rnacentral:rRNA from 1 species
UAAGGUAAGGGAUAACCUCAGGAAACCGAGGGUAAUACCUUAUAUGAGAAGGGUUAUGGAAAAAACUUCUCUUAAAGAUUACGCCUUAGGAUGAGUCGGCGGUCGAUUAGGCUGAUGGUGAGGUAAUGGCUCACCAUACCUAUGAUCGAUAGGGGCCCUGAGAGGGGGAGCCCCGUGAAGGACACUGAGAUACUGGUCCUAGCCCUACGGGGUGCAGCAGGUACGAGGUCUUUACACUACACGAAAGUGUGAUAAGGGAACCCAAAGUGCUUACGUAUACGCGUAGGCUUUUGCCAAGCGUAAAUAACUUGGCGAAUAAGUGGUGGGUAAGACGGGUGCCAGCAGCCGCGGUAACACCCGCGCCACGAGUGGCAAUCAGCAUUAUUGGGCCUAAAGCGUCCGUAGCCGGUCUCAUAAAUUCUUUGUGAAAUCGUCAAGCUCAACUUGACGGCUUGCGAAGAACACUGUGAGACUAGAGACCAGGAGGGGUAGAAGGUAUUCCUUGGGGAGCGGUAAAAUGCUAUAAUCCAAGGAGGACCACCGAUGGCGAAGGCAUUCUACCAGAAUGGGUCUGACGGUGAGUGACGAAAGCCAGGGGAGCGAUCCGGAUUAGAUACCCGAGUAGUCCUGGCCGUAAACUCUGCGAGCAAGGUGUUGUGUUUUCCUCGGGAAAGCGCAGUAUCGAAGCGAAGGCGUUAAGCUCGCCGCCUGGGAAGUAUGGUCGCAAGGCUGAAACUUAAAGGAAUUGGCGGGGGAGCACUACAAGAGGUGAGGCGUGCUGUUUAAUCUUAUUCCACGCAGAGAAUCUCACUAGCGGCGACGGCAGGAUGAAGGUCGGGCUGAAGACCCUACCUAACGAGCCGAGAGGUAGUGCAUGGCCGCCGUCAGCUCGUGCCGUAAGGUGUCCUCUUAAGUGAGGUAACGAGCGAGACCUGCGUGUACAAUUGCCAUCGACUCUUCCGAGAGGAUCGAGCACAUUGUACAGACUGCCCUGGAAACAGGGAGGAAGGUGCAGGCUACGGUGGGUCUGUAUGCUCCGAAUCUGCUAGGCUACGAGCGCGCAACAAUGGUAGGGACAAUGGGAUGCGACUCCGAAAGGAGAAGCUAAGCCUCUAAACCCUAUCCCAGUCUAGAUUGAGGGCUGUAACCCGCCCUCAUGACAACGGAAUCUCUAGUAACCAGAUGUUAGCAUCGUCUGGUGAACAUGUCCCUGCUCCUUGCACACACCGCCCGUCAAACCAAUCGAGCAGGGUUCAAGUGAGCCCUUAUUUUUUGAUAAGGCCGAACUUGGGCUCAGUGAGAUGGGUUAAGUCGUCACAAGGUA